AUUAACAAUACAGCAUGACAUUACCCGGGAUUGGAGUCUUUGGUACAGGAAGUAUUGUUAGAGUAAUUAUUCCCUUUCUAAGAGAGAAAGGCUUUAGAAUUGAAGCUAUAUGGGGACGUACACUGGCAGAAGUGUCAGAAGUUGCAACAGAUCUUGAAAUACCAUUUCAUACUAGUCGAAUUGACGAUGUACUCCUCAGGAAGGAUGUUGAUUUAAUUUUUAUCAUGUGCUCUCCUAGCUUACAUGCACAAAUUGCGGUAAAGGCAUUAGGGAUAGGAAAACAUGUCGUGUGUGAUAAACCUGCAGGUUUAAGUCAAAGCGAAUCAUUAAAAAUGGUGCGAGCUGCACAAUAUUAUCCUUCUUUAAUAAGUAUUGUUAAUCAUAGUUUAAGAUUUUUACCAGCAUUUGUUCACAUGAAGAAAGCUUUAGAAGAAGGAUAUUUAAAUGGUCCUGUAAAUGUAAUAGAAGUUAGAGUACAUAUGGGCAGUUUAUUACACAAUGGAUACGAUUGGUUGUGUGAUGAUACAAUGGGAGGAGGAAUUUUAGCCUUAGUUGGAAGUCAUGUAAUCGAUCUAAUUUUUCAUUUAAUUGGUCAACGUGCUUCAAGAGUACAUGCUGUAGUCCGGACUUUCACGCAAACUACAAAACAUAUAAAUGGAAUUAGACACGUUACAUCACCAGAUUUCUGCAGUUUCCAAAUGGAAUUAAGUGGUGGCACAUUGGUAACAGCAACAUUGAGUAAUCAUUUACAAGGGCAGCUUUCUCAAGAAGUAUUAAUAUGUGGAGGUGGUAAUCAUCUUCUUGCACGUGGUGGAGAUUUGCAUGGUUGUCGUAAUGGACAAGAAGAAAUAUUAUAUCAUGAUACAGAUGAUUUACAAGAUAUAUCAUUUCCCAUUGCUGACUCUAUUCCAAGACCAUAUAUCAAAGGAUUAAGAAAAAUGAUCACUGCACUAAGAGAAGCUUUCCAAUCUGUUGAGGAUAAAAAGGGUUGGAUAAAAGAACCAGUAUUUUCUGCAUCAUCUUUUGAAGAUGGUUUAUAUGUACAAGCAGUUAUUGAUGCAUUGAGACAGAGUAAUAAACGAAGAGAAUGGGUAAAAGUUAAUAUUUUAACAGAAGAACCAGACCCAAAUCCUCUAUUAAGUGCAGCUGUUAGAGCUACAGCUAUAUCAAUAUAAAGUGGACAUUAUCUAAAAGUUCUAAAAUUAAGUAAAGACUUUUGACACUCAAAAAAUCAUAAGUUUACUCAUGAGUUAACUUAUAACUUUAUAAAUGUAUAGUAUUACUAUUUACAAGGCAGCUCGAAAAAUAAUGUAAACCAAAUUACUGAACUAUAAAUUUUAAUUAAACAUCUUAUUUAGUACAAAAAUUCAAAAUAUAUUUUAUAGUGUAAAUAUGUGCAUGACUAUGUACAGUAUAUUUUGAAAAUGUUAUAGUAUUGUUUGUACUUCAGUAGAGAUAUCUAACUUAUGAAUAAUAUUUAUUAAGAACUAUGUGUAAAUCAUAACAAUAUUUAUUUAUAUAUUAACGAAAAUAUUUAUAUUUGCAUAAUUAAGCAAUAUAGAGAAAUAAAUUUUAUUGUAAAUAACAGUUUCUAAUUUUUAGUAAUUUAUUGUAUUUUUUCAUUGUUUAUUUUAUAUUUUAUACAAUGUGAUACAUUAUAAAUGAUUAAAUUAUAAAUAUAUGUAAUUUGUAAUACAAUUAUGACUUUUACAAAUUUCAAUCAUUACCUUCUAUAUAUUUGUAAUAUUUACAAUAUACAUAUAAUUUAUAUGCAAAUUAUAUGUAUAUAUAUGUAAGAUAAAAGCAAGGUAGAUCGCUUAAAACCGUCGGUUACACAAUUAUGUAUUAACAAAUGCAAUUUUUAAAUAAUUUUGAAUUAGCUCACUCUACAUACGUUUGUAUAGAAGUAAAAUAGUUAUAUAUAUACAUAUAUUUAUUUGUAGAUUUAAUAUGAAGAAGUAACUAAAUAAUUCUAUUUAUUAUUUUUAUUACUCAAUAGAAUAUAAAUUUAAUCACUCACUAAAUUCAGCUUGUUUUUCUUUAAUAGAAUACGCUCAAUUUUGUGAGUAAUUAAAUGUAAAAUUAUGCACAUGUAUCUGCUAAUUAUAUGCUAAUUCAAAUAAUAACUUUAAACUUCGUAUAUAUUUCAAAUCUCUUCAAAUGUAAAUUUAAUUUAUGUAUAUAAAAACGAAUCUUUCAUAGACCAGUUAUUUAAUUUCAUUUAAUUGCACACACGUACAUUUAUUAUUUAUAUUUGAUAAAUUAUUGUGACUAAUAAAAAUAAAAAAUAUAUGUAUAUUAGCAAUAAACAUACAUAUAUACAACAUAUGCUGUUAGCAAAGCUAUUAUUAUCCUAUUCUUUGUUAUUAAUACAAUGACAGCUUAAUAACAUUAAUGGAAUACAUAUAUAUAUGUUUAUGUAAACUCAUUUAAAAAUUUCAUCACAUACAAUCAAAAAUAAAAUUAAUAUCUAUAUCAAUAAUAAAAUUAAUAUCUAUAAAAAAUAAAAUAAUAUCUAUUUGUAAAUUUUUAAUCUUAAAAUUGGUGCAAUUCCCUAAGAAAUACAUGAAAAUUAAUCAAUUAAUUUUAUUUCCUCUAAUUAUAAUUACAUCAAUUUCUUAUUUUUUAAUUAAAAUUACAAUUUAUAAUUGCUAUAAAAUUUAUAAGUGUAUUUAAUGUAAAUAUAUUUUCUAUUUUUAUAAGCCAUAUGUAUAUUUUCACAUAUUAUUUGAUUCACGUAUUGUGCAAAUAAAACGUGUAAUUGAUAACCUCAUUUAAUGAGUAGAACAUAUUUUUAUUUAAUUCAAAAUACAAUAACUCCACACGUCAAACAGAGACUUAAAGAGAAUAAUGGGAAAGAACAAAGGAUUCCAAAAAAAGCAAACGAAGAAAAAUGUGUUUAAAGUAGCAACAGUUCGUGGUAAUAGACUGAAGGUGAAAGCACAAAAAGUGUUAACUAAUUUAAAACAGUUGGAUCUGAAAAAAAAUAAAGCAAGUAAAGGAAAUAAGGAUAAAACAGCACAAAUUGAUAA